AGAGUUUGAUCAUGGCUCAGAUUGAACGCUGGCGGCAGGCCUAACACAUGCAAGUCGAACGGUAACAGGAAGCAGCUUGCUGCUUCGCUGACGAGUGGCGGACGGGUGAGUAAUGUCUGGGAAACUGCCUGAUGGAGGGGGAUAACUACUGGAAACGGUAGCUAAUACCGCAUAACGUCGCAAGACCAAAGAGGGGGACCUUCGGGCCUCUUGCCAUCGGAUGUGCCCAGAUGGGAUUAGCUAGUAGGUGGGGUAACGGCUCACCUAGGCGACGAUCCCUAGCUGGUCUGAGAGGAUGACCAGCCACACUGGAACUGAGACACGGUCCAGACUCCUACGGGAGGCAGCAGUGGGGAAUAUUGCACAAUGGGCGCAAGCCUGAUGCAGCCAUGCCGCGUGUAUGAAGAAGGCCUUCGGGUUGUAAAGUACUUUCAGCGGGGAGGAAGGCGAUAAGGUUAAUAACCUUAUCGAUUGACGUUACCCGCAGAAGAAGCACCGGCUAACUCCGUGCCAGCAGCCGCGGUAAUACGGAGGGUGCAAGCGUUAAUCGGAAUUACUGGGCGUAAAGCGCACGCAGGCGGUCUGUCAAGUCGGAUGUGAAAUCCCCGGGCUCAACCUGGGAACUGCAUUCGAAACUGGCAGGCUAGAGUCUUGUAGAGGGG
rnacentral:rRNA from 1 species